GGGGAGGGUUGUAGCUCAGUGGUAGAGCUCCUGCUUUGCAGGCAGAAGGUCCCUCGUUCAGUCCUUGGCCUCUCCA